rnacentral:lncRNA from 1 species
UCCUUGAACCAUCCACAGGUACAAUUUGAAAGACCGCUGCUGCCACAAAGAAAGCAACCUGCUCUAAGCCAAUUCCAUUUCUGGUGUGUGACAAAGCCGGCUUCGUUAUUAGAUCGCUCCAGACGAGCAAAAGCAAGGCCCUGGGAUCUGGAGCACGCAGCCCCAAACUUAGCACCCAGGCACGCCAGCCCGCGCGAGGAGCGGUCUCUCGGCGGGGCCCCGGGACUCCCGCAGGCGCCGGGCGCAGGCGGCUGCGGGGGUGCCAGCCUCACCCCCGAGAAAGGCCGCGGAGAAGUUGCCGCCGCCUUCUCACCUGGAGACCAGCAGGUUCGAAGCGCCGCGGGAACCGGGAUCCUGGGAGGUCCAGCUGGGGCUGGAAUUAGGCGCAGGAGCGCGGGCGCCGGGCGGGAGCUGGUUGGAGGGGCGGGGACGCGGUGGAGGAAGGCGGGGCCGGAGGGGCGCGGGGCUGGAGGUGGAGAAGCCCGAGGCAGCGGGUUUGAGGGAGGUGGGGGCGAGGGCUCGGGAGAGGGCGCCGCAAUCCUUGGCAGAGUUAGAGGGUUAGAGGGUGCUGAGGCUUGGAGACAGGGGCGGCGGGGCGGAGGCCGGGGUGGCCUGGGGGAGAAACAGCGAGUCGGGGGCUGGGGUUUGGGGAAGGAGCGGGAAUGGAGGAGGAAGCUCAGUCGGGGGGUUCAGACCCGGUGCUCUGAAGCCCGCCCCAGCCCGUCUCUCCCACCGGAGACUCAGUCCCGUCGUCCCGGCCUGGGCGCGUCCCGAGGAUCCCCUCGGGCUCUCAACCCUGGGGCUCCUGUCCGCUUCGAGCCUCCGCGCCGCUCAGCCCAAAAGACAACCAGCCGGGCCCCGGACCAUUCCCACUCACCGUCCAUGGUCCCGGCCCGGCUCCGGCCCCGGCUCCGCCGCUGCGCGCCCGGUUCGGCGCUCGCCGCCUGCUCAGCCCUUUGCGGGGGGAGGCGAGGGCUGCGUGCACCGACCUCGGGGCAGCACAGCAUGCCGCAGCGCCCCCUGCUGGCCCCGCCCCACGCCGGGCUCGGCCCGCCCCGCGCCGGGCGCCCUCGAGCUCCGCCCCGAAGACGCCGAUGCGGGCGGCCCCGGCGGGGAGAAGCGCGCGGAAGGGGUUGCGGAGGGGAUGCUGACCCUGGAGGGCCAAAGAGCCCCCAGAGACAGGCCAGUCCACCAAGCUUCCGGCGUGCCUAA